UUACUCCAUCAGAUUUAAUAAGUUUGGAUGCUUUCCAAGUACGAGGCAUUAAUCACACUUAUACCCAGGCCUCAACAGUUCAUCCACCCGGUAGAUUCGUGUCAGAGACAUAAAACAAUCUGCUCUAAUGCACACAGUUCCCUUUAAACCGGGCGCUCGCUUUGUGUUGGUAAAACUUGCUUUGUAUCCAGGGGCUGGGAUGAGAAAGGGGGCGGGGAUUUUUGUGUCGUGUGAAGCGACUCACGGCUGAAUUUCCCCUUCCUUUGCGGAUUUAUCCAUCCAUCCACCCACCCAUCCACCCUUCCAUCCCUCCAUCUCUUGUCUGUCUCUCAUCGAUCUGUCAAUCAUCCGUCUAUCAUCCCUCUGUCUCCUCUCUGUGUAACUGAGCUCAGCACAAGGAGGCAUGAGAGCGCCUUCGCUGUGUGCAGGGUGAGUUUACCUCACGGAGAUGGAGUGCCGUGUGGUCUUCCGAUCUCCCCAGGCAGGCCUUGCUUCCUCUCUCUCUCCUCCGGCCCCUGCAGUCAGGGUCGCAGUUGUUCUGACACCCCCCAGCUAAAGUGCCUGCGUCCCCGGGCGGACACCACGUCCUCCCUUAUCCUCACCCCACCGCAUCCCUGCCGCCCGCCCAGCCCCGCGGGGCCACCUGCUCUGAGAGACUCGGAUGGGCAGCUGCCUGUCCCUUUUCAUGUCCUGAGUCCUUUUUCCUACAACACGUACAAGUGUCUCCAGGCUCAGCUCUCACUCAGCUGCGUCCUGCUGUCCCCCCACAGGCGCUCGGGCUGAUUCCGGGGCGCCUCCUCCCUCCUCAGCCUUGCGGCUACCUGUCCACUUUGGGGGCUCGGUCCCUCAGCCCUCACCGCCCGUCACGAUGUGGCUUUGUGACUUGGAAACACAUACUCCUUAAGACAGAUUCGAGAGCACAAAGCUGGGUGGGCCCCUCGCGCACCACACCCACACGUCUGCAGCCGGUGACGCUGCCCCGUCGAGAGCGGGGGUCUGAAGCAGCAGCUGU
rnacentral:lncRNA from 1 species